rnacentral:rRNA from 1 species
AUUGAACGCUGGCGGCGUGCCUAACACAUGCAAGUCGAGCGGUAACAGGUGUAGCAAUACAUGCUGACGAGCGGCGAACGGGUGAGUAAUGCUUCGGAAUCUGCCCAUGUAGUGGGGAAUAACCAGCCGAAAGGUUGGCUAAUACCGCAUACGACCCUUGCCCACAAGGCAAAGGUGAAAGCAGGGGAUCGCAAGACCUUGCGCUAUUGGAUGAGCCGAAGUCGGAUUAGCUAGUUGGUAGGGUAACGGCCUACCAAGGCGACGAUCCGUAGCUGGUCUGAGAGGACGACCAGCCACACUGGGACUGAGACACGGCCCAGACUCCUACGGGAGGCAGCAGUGGGAAUAUUGGACAAUGGGGCAACCCUCGAUCCAGCGACGCCGCGUGUGUGAAG